GACGGAGGAUGCAAGUGUUAUCCGGAAUCACUGGGCGUAAAGCGUCUGUAGGUGGUUUAAAAAGUCCACUGUUAAAGAUUGAAGCUUAACUUCAAAAAUGCCGUGGAAACUUUUAAACUUGAGUAUGAUAGGGGUAGAGGGAAUUCCAGUGGAGCGGUGAAAUGCGUAGAGAUCGGAAAGAACACCAACGGCGAAAGCACUCUGCUGGGCCGACACUGACACUGAGAGACGAAAGCUAGGGGAGCGAAUGGG
rnacentral:rRNA from 1 species